rnacentral:rRNA from 1 species
AUACGGAGGAUCCGAGCGUUAUCCGGAUUUACUGGGUUUAAAGGGUGCGUAGGCGGGCGCCUAAGUCAGCGGUGAAAUGGCGCGGCUCAACCGUGCAGCUGCCGUUGAAACUGGCGGGCUUGAGUGGGUUCGAGGCAGGCGGAAUGCGCGGUGUAGCGGUGAAAUGCAUAGAUAUCGCGCAGAACGCCAAUAGCGUAGGCAGCUUGCCAGGCCCCAACUGACGCUGAGGCACGAAAGCGUGGGGAUC